rnacentral:lncRNA from 1 species
UUAAAAAACAAAUUCAAACCCAAACACAUUCCAAUCAAUAACGUUCAUCAUUAAUUCAUCCUAUGGAUCUGAAAAGAUGCUUGUCGGAUCAAAUAAUAAUUUGAUCACCGAAAUAUCAAGGCAAAUGAUACCGGAUGAUCCUUUCAGGCCGCGCCGGUCCGCUUUGAAGCGGUCUUGGAGCACCGUGGGACCGUUUCCUCGUUCCCUUUGGAUCCAUCCAAGUGUACCGGAGGAUGACUUUGACCGAAUCUGUGUCAAAAUAUGGAGAGACUCGAAGAAAGCUGAAUUUGGAAUGUGGCCACAUAUGGAGGAGGACAGUAUGACCCCAGCUAAUGAACACCCACAGGCCCCACGAGCCCCACCGGCCCAGGACCGGCGCGCAGAAGAGGAUCCGGUCCCCACUGUGAGGCCUCAAAACAUCCACUGCGAAGUCCGAGACAAUGCGUGUCUUGUUACACGGUGGAAACCUAUGUUUAUCAAAAUCACGGAUCCAAGUUUAGGCCUAUUAGAAUCACCCAGCUCUUCUGUGUCGUGAGUGAUGCUAAAAUGUAGCUGUAUCCAGUCAUCAAUGGAUGUGUUCCUGAAAUAGCCUCUAGUGUUUCAGAGUGCAUAGUUACAUUAUCGGUUCAUAAAUUCUUUGCGUGUUUCGCUCACGGCGCGUUUCCCAGAGCGCGUUUCCCCGC